UCCCUGGUGGCCUAGUGGUUAAGCAUCCAGCAUUGUCACGGCUGUGGCUUGGGUUCGAUCCCUGGCCUGGGAA
rnacentral:tRNA from 1 species